rnacentral:misc_RNA from 1 species
GGAAGCUAAAGGUGCUGUGCGUGAACUACGCAAGGACAAUGAGUUCUUGUCCAAGGCAAAGGAAAGGGAAAGAGCCUUACUUGCCGCGGAAAAGGCUGAGAAGUAUGGUAAAGAUCUGGCUUUUCUUCAAGAACAAGAACACGCGUUUAAAUCGGGGCAAUUGGGAAAGGGAAAGGGACAGAAGAGAAGAAGAUGAAAUUAGCUUUUGGUUGUUAUAUGAAAAUCUCAUAUUCAAAAGCUUCUUCCCACUGAAUUCCAGAGUCAAAAUCAUGUAUUGGAAUCCCCCAUCCCCAAACACACACUCAAACACACACACAAAAAAAACUAUAUGUAUU